AAACUUCGCAAUGGGAGCAAUCCCGACGAGGGUAUUCCAAGUGCCAGCACUUAGUGUUGGCUGUUCUCCUGUCUAAAAAACAGGAGAAGUAAGGGCCGGGUAAGACGGGUGCCAGCCGCCGCGGUAAUACCCGCGGCCCGAGUGGUGGUCGAUAUUAUUGAGCCUAAAACGUCCGUAGCCGGUCUCACAAAUCCCUGGGUAAAUCGGCCAGCUCAACUGUCCGAAUUCCGGGGAGACUGCGAGACUUGGGACCGGGAGAGGUCAGAGGUACUUCCAGGGUAGGGGUAAAAUCCUGUAAUCCCGGAAGGACCACCGGUGGCGAAGGCGUCUGACUAGAACGGAUCCGACGGUGAGGGACGAAGCCCUGGGGCGCAAACGGG
rnacentral:rRNA from 1 species